UACAGAGGGGGCAAGCGUUGUUCGGAAUUCCUGGGCGUAAAGGGCGCGUAGGCGGCCUGUUAAGUCGAACGUGAAAUCCCCGGGCUCAACCCGGGAACUGCGUCCGAUACUGGCAGGCUUGAAUCCGGGAGAGGGAUGCGGAAUUCCAGGUGUAGCGGUGAAAUGCGUAGAUAUCUGGAGGAAUACCGGUGGCGAAGGCGGCAUCCUGGACCGGCAUUGACGCUGAGGAGCGAAAGCUAGGGGAGCAAACGGG
rnacentral:rRNA from 1 species